rnacentral:lncRNA from 1 species
GAAACGCACGCACACACAGACACACACACUUACUCAAACGCACGCACGCACACACACACACACACACACACACACACACACACACACACACACACUCUCUCACUCAAACACACACAAGCACACACACACACUCACUCACUCACUCAAACACACACACACACACACACACUCAGUUUUCCUGAGGUUCAGGUCUGACAGUGUGGAUCCAGCAGCUCCAGGUUUUGCUGUAGAUCCUGUUCAUUGCUCGGGUCGAUCUGUAGUUUAUUUCAUAAAGAGAGACUGGCUGAAGCCCUACAGCAGCAAGAUGAAGGUCGUGGGUUUGUCCUUGAGUAAGCAGAGAGAAACCUCACAGAACCAGUCAGCCGCUGCAUUUCUGCUCCAUUUCUCCAUCUGUUUAAGGCGGCUACACACGAGCGUCAGUGGGGACCGACGGAGACAAACGGUCCACAGCCACCUCAGACUCAGAAACACGUCUUUGUGCUCACGUCUAUUGUGUCAUGCUGAAAUAGAAACAAAUCCUCCACAAACAUUGAAUACAGCUGAGUGAUUCUCUUUUUUUAGAGUACUUUUCUUAACAAACGUAGAUAACUGUAUUCCACUCUCACUGUAUUCUCCGUGAGUAAGUCACAGCAGGUCAGAAUUGCAUUGCUCAGAGAAAAAACAAACACAAAGUUAAGUUGGAUCAGUGUAUAAGUCAUAUUUUAUUAUUACAUUCAUUCAGAAGUCAUGUAAAAUAUCGAUAAAUAAUAUAACCCAUUUACAAACAUUAUAAACACUAUAAAAAUGUGUUUUAGUUCCUGUCACGCCACUACAAAUCUUUUACUUUUAACGGUAUUCAGAACAGAUCAGGAAUGAAACAUAUAAGUAUAGAACAAACAUAAAUUAUAGUGCAUUCACUAUAAAUAACAUUUAUUAUGAGUGCCAGGCCUAAACAAAUGCAUUUAAAGUAAAUCUGAAACUACCACAUGUAGGAAAUCUUUACAAAUAAACCCAAACUCACAUACAGUACCUCUGUCCCUCUGUGCUUUCGACGCUUAGUGCAUUAUAUAAGUCACUUUGGAACAUAAGUCGCAGCAUGUUGCAGAUGAUAAAAAACAUGACUUUUAUGGUAAAUGUGGUAAUUGUGAUUGUGAG